rnacentral:rRNA from 1 species
CGAAGGGGGCGAGCGUUGUUCGGAAUCACUGGGCGUAAAGCGUGCGUAGGUGGCGAGGAAAGUUAGAAGUGAAAGCCCAGGGCUCAACCUUGGAAUUGCUUUUAAAACUCCCUUGCUCGAAUCUCGGAGAGGAUAGCGGAAUUGUCAGUGUAGCAGUGAAAUGCGUAGAUAUUGACAGGAACACCGGUGGCGUAAGCGGCUAUCUGGACGAGUAUUGACACUGAGGCACGAAAGCGUGGGGAUCAAACAGGAUUAGAUACCCUGGUAGUCCACGCUGUAAACGAUGUGUGUUUGUCGCUGGGAGGUUUACCUUUCGGUGACGGAGCUAACGCGUUAAGCACACCGCCUGGGAAGUACGGUCGCAAGAUUA